rnacentral:rRNA from 1 species
UACAGAGGAUGCAAGCGUUAUCCGGAAUGAUUGGGCGUAAAGCGUCUGUAGGUGGCUUUUUAAGUCCGCCGUCAAAUCCCAGGGCUCAACUCUGGACAGGCGGUGGAAACUACCAAGCUGGAGUACGGUAGGGGCAGAGGGAAUUUCCGGUGGAGCGGUGAAAUGCGUAGAGAUCGGAAAGAACACCAGUGGCGAAAGCGCUCUGCUGGACUGCAACUGACACUGAGGGACGAAAGCUAGGGGAGCGAAUGGG